rnacentral:rRNA from 1 species
UACGUAGGUGGCAAGCGUUGUCCGGAAUUAUUGGGCGUAAAGCGCGCGCAGGCGGUCCUUUAAGUCUGAUGUGAAAGCCCACGGCUCAACCGUGGAGGGUCAUUGGAAACUGGGGGACUUGAGUACAGAAGAGAAGAGUGGAAUUCCACGGUGUAGCGGUGAAAUGCGUAGAUAUAUGGAGGAACACCCGGUGGCGAAGGCGGCUCUCUGGAACGCAACUGACGCUGAGACGCGAAAGCGUGGGGAGCAAACAGG